rnacentral:rRNA from 1 species
GACGAACGCUGGCGGCGUGCUUAACACAUGCAAGUCGAACGGAAAGGCCCUGCUUGCAGGGUCCUCGAGUGGCGAACGGGUGAGUAACACGUGGGUGAUCUGCCCUGCACUUCGGGAUAAGCCUGGGAAACUGGGUCUAAUACCGGAUAGGAGCCAUUUUUAGUGUGAUGGUUGGAAAGUUUUUUCGGUGUAGGAUGAGCUCGCGGCCUAUCAGCUUGUUGGUGGGGUAAUGGCCUACCAAGGCGGCGACGGGUAGCCGGCCUGAGAGGGUGGACGGCCACAUUGGGACUGAGAUACGGCCCAGACUCCUACGGGAGGCAGCAGUGGGGAAUAUUGCACAAUGGGCGCAAGCCUGAUGCAGCGACGCCGCGUGGGGGAUGACGGCCUUCGGGUUGUAAACGCCUUUCGCUAGGGACGAAGCUUUUUGUGACGGUACCUAGAUAAGAAGCACCGGCUAACUACGUG